UGAUCGUGGUGUGUUGUCAUAUAGACGUCCGAGUGCCAAGGACUCGACAGUCGAUAGAGAACUCCUACAGACGUCGUAAACUUCACGACAAAUACGGCGAGACAUUCCUAGAUCUCUCGACGCCAUCCUUGGAAAAGGUUCCAGUGAGGGAUCUGAUGCGUGAGUAUACCAAAUCGUCCUCUGAAGUGAGAAAGCAUGGCCGAGGAAAUCAAAGACAACCAAUGAGUGAUGGUUCUCAUUACAGUCCUGUUGUAUUAUCGUCAAUAGAGGACAGUGUCCCGCUAUCACGUGACCCGACCAGAUGGCUCGGGGCAAUACACAAAUUAGGAAACCAAAAUAUACCUGGGACGACUCAGUUGUUACAGGCACUAUCCUCAAUAGAAACAAAAGAGUCAUGAUGACAGUAUUUACAGAAAGACAAUUGAAUUGACAGCGAUCCUCGUUCUCCGAGUUCCAGAAGAAAUCGUAUUGAAUUGCAGUUUUAAUUAUUUUUAUAUUUUCAUUGAGUAGGUACAUUAGGAAUUCGCUCGAAUAUGCAGAAGGUCAUGAUGGACUAUUUUUUAUUUUCACAUGAGAAAUAGCAACAUGGAUACAUACUUUGUAUUUGUCGCUGUGUCGACAUCAUUAUAUCUGUAUUUAGCUUCAUUCAAAGAUGGUCAUUCAAAAUACCAAUGACAUGCAGGAAUAAC